GAAUCUUGCACAAUGGGGGAAACCCUGAUGCAGCGACGCCGCGUGAGCGAUGAAGCCCUUCGGGGUGUAAAGCUCUUUCGGCAGGGACGAUAAUGACGGUACCUGAAGAAGAAGCUGCGGCUAACUACGUUCCAGCAGCCGCGGUAAUACGUAGGCAGCGAGCGUUGUUCGGAGUUACUGGGCGUAAAGCGUGCGUAGGCGGUGGCCCAAGUCUGGGGUGAAAUCGCCCGGCUUAACCGGGAGGGUGCGCCGGAAACUGGGUUGCUUGAGUGCCGGAGAGGCAGGCGGAAUUCCUGGUGUAGCGGUGAAAUGCGUAGAUAUCAGGAGGAACACCCGUGGUGUAGACGGCCUGCUGGACGGUAACUGACGCUGAGGCACGAAAGCGUGGGGAGCAAACAGG
rnacentral:rRNA from 1 species